GCAUGUCUUGGGUGUGCUGAUAAUUUCCAUUUUAACAAGUUACCAGGUGAAGCUGCUGCUACUACUAAUCGGAACCACACUUGAAAAUUUUGGCACUCGAGCAAACUACCAGACUUCAGCCAGAAUUCUGUGAGCUGCUUGCUAAAGGCAGCAAGUUGAGAAAAUUAUGAAGGCUUAUGAAACAUUUUAGAGGACCACUGGAAUCAUCCAAUUACCCCAUCUUUAUGCAGCAUGGCUGGGGAUCUUCAGACUUAGUAUUUUGAAGAUAGAUGCAAGAAGGGCCAAAGUAUCCCCUCAGUAAACUAGAGGAAGUUACAACUGCCCCUCUGGUUUGCUAAGAGGUUUGCAUAAACCAAAUGAAGAGCAUUCUAUGCAGCUACAGAAGGGCUCAGUAGAAUAUUUUCCUUUGGAGAACUUUCAGAAAGCAUCAUUAUGGGUGGAGAGCUCUUCAGCAACAAAAAAGGAGUGCUGGAGCAGUCUCUCUGGGUGGCCCAGCAAAUUCCUUCACCGUCUCCAAGUGCUAGAGAGCUGGCUUUUUCCAGCACAUCGUUAGAAAACUUUCUCCAAACCUUAAAGUAUCUAUUCCCCUGAGAAACAUCAUUGCUAUACUUACUCAGUUAAAAAUAGACAGCAGCAGAAAGCAGAUGACGUCUGUCAACACCCAGUCCCAUAUUCUAAGCACAUCUCUCCAGACUAUUGCAAAGCCAGAGACAUGUGUUCCUGCUCACCCUUAGCCUGUGAGUUCCUACCUGCAUUGUGUGAUGUUUGCUGUUGUGUACCAUUAGUAGAGGCAGGAGGCAGAGAAAUUCUAGGCAGAUAGGGGCAGAUGUUCAGUGAAAUCCCACAUUCAAGCCAAAGUAGCCUGAAACCUGUGGCCCAAAAUGAGAAUUUCUAUUCUUGUUUGCCUAUUCUCUCCUGAUUGGUAUUUUCUGAAUAAUGUAGUUUUACCAAUCGAAAGUUGCCUUUUCCAAAACUACCUAUGGCCUAACCCAUUCCUAUCCUUCACCUAUAAAGACCCUAGACUUAGUCAGUAAAGGGAGAGAGGCAGCUUGACUUCAGCAAGAUAGCUUGACUUUGGAGACAAGAUGGCUGGACUUUGGCAAUGAAGAGAUGGCUUGAUUUUGGGGAAGACACGGCUGAACUUCAGGGAGAGCUAUCUGCCCUUCCAUUCCAUCUGCAACUCUCCUCUCCACUGAGAGCCAUUCCCAUUGCUCAAUAAAAUUAUUCACAUUCAGCAUCCUUCAAGUGUCCAUGCGACCUCAUUCUUCUUGGACACCAGGCAAGAGCUCAGGACCCACCGAGUGCAGGUACCCAAAAAAGGCUGUCACACCAGCCCUUUGCCCUCUCUGGUGGAGGGAAGCCACCCCACACGAUGAGGCAAGGGGCCAAAUGAGCUGUUAACGCAUAGCCAUCCAUAACCGGCGGAACUAAAGGAGCAUUGUAUCACCUCUUCUGGGGCCUCAGGGUCACAG
ensembl:lincRNA